rnacentral:sRNA from 1 species
UAUUGAACAACGCAAAUUUCACGCUCACGAAAAGCAUUUUCGAUUUGAGAAACCCGCUGUCCUAGCGGCAGUGCGAGGUUCCAUGAGAACGAAAACCGUCAUGUUGAGUGAAGACGAGACUCCAGUGGCUGAUCUUGGGUGCGGUUUCUUUCUGCCUUUGGGCUGUGGAAGAGAGCGCAAUGAUUGGCCGUACAU